AUGAACGCUGGCGGCGUGCCUAACACAUGCAAGUCGAACGGAGUUAUGAUGUGAGCGGGAAGUGCUUGCACAGCCCAAUCUUUUCAUAACUUAGUGGCGGACGGGUGAGUAACGCGUGGGUAACCUGCCCUGUACUGGGGGACAACAGUUGGAAACGACUGCUAAUACCGCAUAAGCGCACGGGAUCGCAUGAUCCUGUGUGAAAAACUCCGGUGGUACAGGAUGGACCCGCGUCUGAUUAGCUGGUUGGUGAGGUAACGGCCCACCAAGGCAACGAUCAGUAGCCGGCCUGAGAGGGUGAACGGCCACAUUGGGACUGAGACACGGCCCAAACUCCUACGGGAGGCAGCAGUGGGGAAUAUUGCACAAUGGGGGAAACCCUGAUGCAGCGACGCCGCGUGAGUGAAGAAGUAUUUCGGUAUGUAAAGCUCUAUCAGCAGGGAAGAAAAUGACGGUACCUGACUAAGAAGCCCCGGCUAACUACGUGCCAGCAGCCGCGGUAAUACGUAGGGGGCAAGCGUUAUCCGGAUUUACUGGGUGUAAAGGGAGCGUAGACGGCAUGGCAAGUCUGAAGUGAAAUGCGGGGGCUCAACCCCUGAACUGCUUUGGAAACUGUCAGGCUGGAGUGCAGGAGAGGUAAGUGGAAUUCCUAGUGUAGCGGUGAAAUGCGUAGAUAUUAGGAGGAACACCAGUGGCGAAGGCGGCUUACUGGACUGUAACUGACGUUGAGGCUCGAAAGCGUGGGGAGCAAACAGGAUUAGAUACCCUGGUAGUCCACGCCGUAAACGAUGAUUACUAGGUGUUGGGGAUUUAUAAAUCCCCGGUGCCGUCGCAAACGCAAUAUGUAAUCCACCUGGGGAGUACGACCGCAAGGUUGAAACUCAAAGGAAUUGACGGGGGCCCGCACAAGCGGUGGAGCAUGUGGUUUAAUUCGAAGCAACGCGAAGAACCUUACCAGGUCUUGACAUCCUUUGACCACUCUAGAGAUAGAGCUUCCCCUUCGGGGGCAAAGUGACAGGUGGUGCAUGGUUGUCGUCAGCUCGUGUCGUGAGAUGUUGGGUUAAGUCCCGCAACGAGCGCAACCCUUAUCUUUAGUAGCCAGCGAGUAAAGUCGGGCACUCUAGAGAGACUGCCGGGGAUAACCCGGAGGAAGGUGGGGAUGACGUCAAAUCAUCAUGCCCCUUAUGACCAGGGCUACACACGUGCUACAAUGGCGUAAACAAAGGGAAGCGACCCUGUGAAGGCAAGCGAAUCCCAAAAAUAACGUCCCAGUUCGGAUUGUAGUCUGCAACUCGACUACAUGAAGCUGGAAUCGCUAGUAAUCGCGAAUCAGCAUGUCGCGGUGAAUACGUUCCCGGGUCUUGUACACACCGCCCGUCACACCAUGGGAGUCGGAAAUGCCCGAAGUCGGUGACCUAACCGAAAGGAAGGAGCCGCCGAAGGCAGGUCUGGUAACUGGGGUG
rnacentral:rRNA from 1 species